AAGAGUUCUUGUGAUCACCCUCAGAUUAAAUCUACUGCCAGAACACCAACAUCAGAAAUACUAGUCACUAUUAACACAGUGUGACACCCCCUGAGUGGGGGAAGCUGCGUGAAAAGAGUCCAAGUCCAAAGGGGAGUUGUCUUCCUCCAGUAGUCUGUAGGGGCUUAUUAACAGUUACUGAUUGAACUUGUGCAGUGCUAGUUUUCUAACCAUUUAGCAUUGGCUGUUUUCUGUGUCUCAAGCUAUUUUAGAUCCUUAAUUCCAUACCACUGUGGUCUUCUAGAUACCAGUGUCUAUAGACGUAUAGGAACAAGUCUCUGGGUAUUUCUUCACAUGUACUGUUCUAGUAGUUGAUAGUGGUGGCCUAAUUGCACCCACAGAUUCUGCUUUCUAAGGUGUGACCCCUCUGCUCGGGCAGUUCUGCAACCACUGGCUUUUUUUUUCCAUGCUGCCUGAAAAUAUAAUCUUGCAUAGGACCAAUUCAGAAAAUGGUCUCUCACAUCUGACCUCUAGGACACUUGUGAAUAGCUCUCAUCUUGGCAUACCCUGUUUCUCUAGCCACAUCACUAGUAAUAUUUUGAAGUAUAUCAGCUAUAAAGGAGUCACCCUGAGGAUUAAAUUAAGAGCUGAUACUUUAAGGAGACCUGCCUCUACAUGUGAAAAUCUGAUAGACACUUUUCUCCAGUAUGUUUUUCUCCUUCACCUGUGAGUUAUGAAGUUUUCCUAUUAAAUCACUUAUAAAUGGAGUUUUCAUAUAGAAUUCUCACAUGGCUGCCAGUGGGUUUAUUGCUGUCUCCCCAAUCCUUGGUCCAUGUUUAAGUGCAAGCAGCUUCUGUUUCACUGCAGGCCCUGUCUGAUCAGGGUGCUUCAGGGAAAGCCCCAUCAAAAAGCCCCCUCAGUUCAUAUCAAUAACUAUACAGGAGUUCUCUACCUGCUGGCUCCUGGCUUGUCUUUCUUUUCAGUCUUUCAGAAUACUUAAUCUGCCCUCACAACAGCUGUUUAGUAUUUGUGGAAAUAUCUCAAGCCCUAGGAUCUGCACUGGAAGCUUUAGCAUCACCAUCCAAAAGCGGUGCAAGAUGCUGGGCUGCGUUCUGAUCAGUCUGCAUGUUCGCAGCGAGUGAGAUCUUGGAAUGGCAUGUGCUCAUUGAGCCUUGCUUCAGUUCCAUGGUCAUCACAGUGCUGUUCAAACAAGGCAACUUUGAAAAGAAAUCACUCCCUCCUACAAUGAUGGUAAACUCAUGAGAAGUCCCAGCUUGUGGCCAAGUGCAGAAUGUUGCCUUUCCAGCAGUGAAAAAAAUUUCCUCUUCCAGGCUGAAAAGGGAGAAGAGUGAAAGCUUCUGAACAAAUGAAGCCGAAAAGGGAGGAAGACUAGAUGUGUCGAGGAUAGGUUUUCAGUUUUCAGUGAUCAGUUUACAGAGCUGGAUCCAGAUAAAAAGCUAUUUUUGGGUCCUAUAAAAUGAUUGGUGGGUAUCUGACCAAUUUACAGUGUUCACAUCACUAAAAUCAAUGUCACAAAAUCAGCCCUAACCAACCAUAUCAAGGGUAACUAAAACAAAGUGGCCAUAUAAAUCUGGAUUAUUUCAAUGGCAAAGAUGGCCUUGCAAAGCCACCAUUAAAGAAAAGUAAUAUGGAG